CGGGGAAGACCCAGGACACGCUGGAGGGACUAUGUCUCUCGGCUGGGAACGCCUCGGGAUUCCCCCGGAGGAGCUGAAUUAUUCAUAGUGGACUCACGGGAUUAUAUUGCAUUGUGUAACCCGCAAUUAGUAAAGGACUUUUAUUUUUGCGGGCCCACUUCCUGUGUUGCCCGAACUCUGCUAACUUAUUUAAAGCCACGCCUCCAGUGCGCAGUAAAAGAUCCUCACCUGUUCCACUGAUUGUGGCUUGCUGUUGGCGUCUUCCUCAGGAAUUCCUCCAAAAAUCUUUGAACCUAUUGAUUUGAUUGCUGGAAUCACUGGCAUUGUUUACCUGGACCGCCACCAGGAUUCUGUUAGUGCUGAUUGUGGCUCAGUACGCCCCACUCUCUUC